rnacentral:tRNA from 1 species
GGGGCAUUAACUCACUGGAUUAGAGAUUAACGCUACGAACGUUAAAGUAGUAGGUUCGAUUCCUACAUGCCCCUCCA